AAAUGAAAGUGGAGCAUGAUGUCUGGAGGCAGUCGGAAAAGGAUCAGUGUGAAGAGAAGCUGCGGGCCUCCCAGGCGGCAGAGGAGGCAGCCCGGAGGGAACUGCAGAGCAUUAGGUUAAAACUUCAACAACAAAUUGUGAAUACCGAAAAAGCAGAGAAAGAAAAACUUGAAAAUUCUGAACUGAAACAGGACACUGGAGGAAAAGCAGAUACAGUGGUUGGAAGAAAAGCAUAAGCUUCAUGAGCGUAUCACAGACAGAGAGGAAAAGUACAAUCAAGCAAAAGAGAAACUGCAGCGGGCAGCAACUGCUCAGAAAAAGAGAAAAUCUCUUCAUGAGAAUAAAUUGAAGAGACUGCAGGAGAAAGUGGAAGUCUUGGAGGCAAAGAAAGAAGAAUUAGAGACAGAAAACCAGGUGUUAAAUAGACAAAAUGUUCCAUUUGAAGAAUAUACAAGGCUUCAGAAACGACUAAAGGACAUACAGAGAAGACAUAAUGAAUUUCGAAGUCUAAUCUUGGUUCCUAACAUGCCUCCCGCAGCAUCGGUCAAUCCUGCUAACUUCCAGUCCUCAGCUAUAGUUCCUGGAGUGGAACUCUCCUUUCCCCCUCAUCUGCAGGAAGAACAGCAUCAAAGAGAACUCUCUCUCCUUCGCAAAAGACUGGAAGAGCUAGAAACUACACAAAGAAAACAACUAGAGGAACUUGGAUCUCCCGGGGAGUGAUGCUGGAAGAAAGGCAAAGCCAGAAACUCAAUAAAGUAUGACGUUUAA
rnacentral:lncRNA from 1 species